rnacentral:miRNA from 1 species
UGGGGUGAGGCUUGGGGCAGGUGUUUUGACUGAAAGGCAAACCUUGUCUCCCCCCCGGCCAG